UACGUAGGGACCGAGCGUUGUCCGGAAUCAUUGGGCGUAAAGAGCGCGCAGGCGGUUGUGCAAGUCGCGUGUGAAAGCCCCCGGCUCAACUGGGGAGGGUCACGCGAUACUGCUCAACUCGAAGGCAGGAGAGGGAAGUGGAAUUCCCGGUGUAGUGGUGAAAUGCGUAGAUAUCGGGAGGAACACCAGUGGCGAAGGCGACUUCCUGGCCUGUUCUUGACGCUGAGGCGCGAAAGCUAGGGUAGCAAACGGG
rnacentral:rRNA from 1 species